rnacentral:rRNA from 1 species
CAGUCGCCGCGGGAAUACGUAGGGUGCAAGCGUUAAUCGGAAUUACUGGGCGUAAAGCGUGCGCAGGCGGUUAUAUAAGUCAGAUGUGAAAUCCCCGGGCUCAACCUGGGAACUGCAUUUGAGACUGUAUGGCUAGAGUGUGUCAGAGGGGGGUAGAAUUCCACGUGUAGCAGUGAAAUGCGUAGAUAUGUGGAGGAAUACCGAUGGCGAAGGCAGCCCCCUGGGAUAACACUGACGUUCAUGCUCGAAAGCGUGGGUAGCAAACAGGAUUAGAUACCCCUGUAGUCCCUGUCUCUUAUAC